rnacentral:rRNA from 1 species
AGAAUGAACGCUGGCGGCAUGCCUAACACAUGCAAGUCGAACGAAGGCUUCGGCCUUAGUGGCGCACGGGUGCGUAACGCGUGGGAAUCUGCCCCUUGGUUCGGAAUAACAGUUGGAAACGACUGCUAAUACCGGAUGAUGACGUAAGUCCAAAGAUUUAUCGCCGAGGGAUGAGCCCGCGUAGGAUUAGGUAGUUGGUGUGGUAAAGGCGCACCAAGCCGACGAUCCUUAGCUGGUCUGAGAGGAUGAUCAGCCACACUGGGACUGAGACACGGCCCAGACUCCUACGGGAGGCAGCAGUGGGGAAUAUUGGACAAUGGGCGAAAGCCUGAUCCAGCAAUGCCGCGUGAGUGAUGAAGGCCUUAGGGUUGUAAAGCUCUUUACCCGGGAUGAUAAUGACAGUACCGGGAGAAUAAGCUCCGGCUAACUCCGCGCCAGCAGCCGC